UUAUUCGAUAUUGGAACAGCUAUUC
rnacentral:piRNA from 1 species